rnacentral:rRNA from 1 species
CUACGGAGGGUGCAAGCGUUACUCGGAAUCACUGGGCGUAAAGCGCGCGCAGGCGGCUUGAUAAGUUGGAUGUGAAAGCCUACGGCUCAACCGUAGAACUGCAUCCAAAACUGUCAGGCUAGAGUGUGGGAGAGGAAGAUGGAAUUAGUUGUGUAGGGGUAAAAUCCGUAGAGAUAACUAGGAAUACCAAAAGCGAAGGCAAUCUUCUGGAACACUACUGACGCUGAGGCGCGAAAGCGUGGGGAGCAAACAGAAUUAGAAACCCGAGUAGUCC